UACAGAGGGGGCAAGCGUUAUUCGGAAUUAUUGGGCGUAAAGGGCGCGUAGGCGGCCUGGCAAGUGGAUGGUGAAAUCCCUCGGCUUAACCGAGGAACUGCCGUCCAAACUGCUUGGCUUGAGUCCGGGAGAGGUGAGUGGAAUUCCCAGUGUAGCGGUGAAAUGCGUAGAUAUUGGGAGGAACACCAGUGGCGAAGGCGGCUCACUGGACCGGAACUGACGCUGAUGCGCGAAAGCGUGGGGAGCAAACAGG
rnacentral:rRNA from 1 species